GUCCACGCCGUAAACGAUGUCUACUUGGAGGUUGUGGCCUUGAGCCGUGGCUUUCGGAGCUAACGCGUUAAGUAGACCGCCUGGGGAGUACGGUCGCAAGAUUAAAACUCAAAUGAAUUGACGGGGGCCCGCACAAGCGGUGGAGCAUGUGGUUUAAUUCGAUGCAACGCGAAGAACCUUACCUACUCUUGACAUCCUCAGAAGAGACUGGAGACAGUCUUGUGCCUUCGGGAACUGAGAGACAGGUGCUGCAUGGCUGUCGUCAGCUCGUGUUGUGAAAUGUUGGGUUAAGUCCCGCAACGAGCGCAACCCUUAUCCUUGUUUGCCAGCGAGUAAUGUCGGGAACUCCAGGGAGACUGCCGGUGAUAAACCGGAGGAAGGUGGGGACGACGUCAAGUCAUCAUGGCCCUUACGAGUAGGGCUACACACGUGCUACAAUGGCGCAUACAGAGGGCGGCCAACUUGCGAAAGUGAGCGAAUCCCAAAAAGUGCGUCGUAGUCCGGAUUGGAGUCUGCAACUCGACUCCAUGAAGUCGGAAUCGCUAGUAAUCGUAGAUCAGAAUGCUACGGUGAAUACGUUCCCGGGCCUUGUACACACCC
rnacentral:rRNA from 1 species